CCUGGCGGGACGCGUCACGUGACUAGCAGGGAACAGUAACCCGGCCGCCAGAAAUGCCUUUCUCUGCCAGUGAUUCUGGUAAUUUGGGUAAAAAGGCUAUUAGAAUAAGGGGCUUAGAAUUAUGAUUUUUUUUUUUUUAUUUCAGUCACAGUCUCAGGUGGUCCUUGUGAUGGGGAAAUGGUGAGACGAGAAGUUUUACUUCGAGAGCGCGCACAUCUAUGGUUUCUCUACUCAUUCUUCGUUUUUAAAAUUGAUAUUCUGACAAGAGUCCCUUCUUACCAUAUCUGGCUGACGGCGACCCAGAUGCCAUGUGAUGGUCAUUUGAAGACAGGACUGCUGGAUAUCAGUCAUGUGAAGAUAGAAGAAUUUGGCUUUCUGCAUCCUAUAAGAGGACCCUCCCCAGAACCUGAAGAUACUGGCAUGCUGGUCUUGGACUUCAGCCUCCAAAACUGUGAGAAAUAAAUUUCUUUUAUGUAGGCCACCCUGUGUGUUGUACUUUGUUACAGAAGCCCAAACUGACAGAGAGUAUGUGAAUAUUUAUUUUUAAUUUCUGGAUAGAGAUGUUGUUCAAGGAGAAUAUGGCCAGAGAGAGGAAGAGGGGUCUUCUGGGACAUGUGAUGCCUAAGGGACAGGACUGAGAAGCACUGAAAAAAGUCUGGUUGGGUGCACCACAGAUUCUUCAGGGACAGGCUCCCUUUAGAGCACAGGCAGUUGCUGCAUUGCAAGGCCUGCCUGGCCAUGGUGGCUCCUUAGUAAAUUCUCCCAUGGCGGCAGGGGAUGAGCUUCAAGGUAUUGGAGUGAAGUGUGAGGGGCAGGGUGGAAAAAUGGUUCAGAGUAGUCCAGGCCAGCCCCUUUAGGUUAGAUAAGGGAGGAUGAGGCUGGGAAGAGCUCAAAAAGGCUAUUUCUUCCCCAGAGAUUAAAAUGCUGGAAAUGGAGGUUUAUGAAAGGUAGAGGCCAGAUUUUGCCUGGCGGUAGGGUUAGGAAUGAAGGGAGAGCUGGAUUGGCCAACAAAAGCUGACCCCAAAGGAGAAGACACUGAGGUCAGGUUGGAGACAAAGCAUUUGUAGUACUGAAGUUGCAUCUAGAAACAACCUUGCCGUCUGUCAUAGAUCCUCUGUACAUGGUGGACAGUAGUAGGCAGGAAGAGAAGGGAAGGAUAACCAGGGUGGGUAAUCAUGAGCUUUGGGGAAUUUUUCCCCCAUUUCUACCUUCAGUGUAAGAUACAAGUAGAACAUCAGCCCCAGCAGGAACUGGGCAGAACUCAUCCCUGGCUGUCAUUCUGGCAGGGUGCAGGUGGUUUGACUGGCAGUUGGGGGCAGAAAGAAAAGUUGAUGGCCAUGUCUCUGAGAAGGACAGUCGUGAGUAUCUAGAAUUGUCCUGAGUCUUGGAAGAUCAGCUUCUUCAUUUGGGUCUGAGGAAGAUGGAACAGAGGUACCUUGUAGAUGGGGUGCAGUCCUGGGAGGCACCUCAUGG